rnacentral:lncRNA from 1 species
GGUAUAAGCAAGAACUAGUUAUACCGGGGAUAGGUACAAGUAUGGAUUUUCGUAGGAACAAGGGUAUUUUUUUAUUUGGAUGAAAUUGUGAGUAUAAGCUGAAACUAGAAAAAUUGUGUUUGGAUGGUUUUUGGAAAUAAGACAUAUAGUUGGUAGUUAUAAAUAGAAAAUAAUAAUAUUAUCCCUAUAAUUGAAUUUUAAACUUAUAAUUUUAAAUUUUAAAUUUUAACUUUUAAAUUUUAAAAUUAGAAAUUAAAAUUUUAAAUUUUAAUAUUCAAAAUUUUAAUUUUGAAUAUCAAAUUUAUAAUUUUAGACUAAAUUUAAAUUUCAAAGAUAUAAAAUAACAAAUUUAAAAACUAAAAAUAUCAAAUUUAAAAUUUAAAAAUUUAAAAUAUCAGAUUUAAAAUUUAAACUUUAAUAAAAUUUAAAAUUUUAAUUUAUUAAUUAUAAUUAUAAAAUUAUAAAUUUGAAAAAUUUAUAUUUAUAUUUAAAAUAAAAAUCUCUCUCUCUCUCUCUCUCUCUCUCUCUCUCUCUC